CUAAGAUGCUUUGAUUGGUAAUGAGAGCGGACUUACAUUGGAACAGGAGAUUAGAGGAUUUGGAACAGUUGACAAAUUUACAAGAUGAGCUCCUUGAUGCAGCUUCAUUGAGUUCACUAUAGAUCUUGCUGAUAGGUACGUCCCACCUGAUCUUGUUACGGACGAAGGGUUCUUCUUCUCCAGCCCAGUCAAACAUCAUCUUGAUGGAUCAUUUGCGGCCCGCCUGGUCCAAUCUGUAGACCACAAGAUGAACCCUAGAUAGCAAGCAAAACGUGAACCUCUCCUCUUUAAUCAAGACAAGGUAGGGCCAUGAUGGGAUACAAUUAUCCAACAAGAAACUUAUCUCUUGUAACUAAUGUUGUCUAAAUCGCUAUCAUAUUGCAAAUCGUAAUUGGGGUUGAAUCGUAUCGAGUCACAAAUCGUAAAUCAUAAGUUUUUUUUUUAAAAUAAAAUUUUAAAAAAUAUAUAAAUAAAUCAGAAAAAAAUUUAAACACUUAAACACCAUCAUGACAUGGUAUUACUUAAAAAAGU